CACACACACACACACACACACACACACACACACACACACACACACACACACACACACACACACACACACACACACACACACACAGAGUAUACGAUCUCUACGCCAUACAAGGAGGAACCAUUUACUGUGAGGUGAUUUUAAGGGAGCGGGCAGAGUAGCACAUAAUGGCCCUCGCUUUGACAGCCAGUCUCCAUCCUAAAUGGCACCCUAUUCCCUAUGUAGUGCACUACUUUAGACCAGAGCCCUAUAGAACCCUAUUCCCUAUAUAGUGCACUACUUUAGACCAGAGCCCUAUAUAACCCUAUUCCCUAUAUAGUGCACUACUUUAGACCAGAGCCCUAUAUAACCCUAUUCCCUAUAUAGUGCACUACUUUAGACCAGAGCCCUAUAUAACCCUAUUCCCUAUAUAGUGCACUACUUUAGACCAGAGCCCUAUAGAACCCUAUUCCCUAUAUAGUGCACUACUUUAGACCAGAGCCCUAUAGAACCCUAUUCCCUAUAUAGUGCACUACUUUAGACCAAGGCCCUAUAGAACCCUAUUCCCUAUAUAGUGCACUACUUUAGACCAAGGCCCUAUAGAACCCUAUUCCCUAUAUAGUGCACUACUUUAGACCAGAGCCCUAUAGAACCCUAUUCCCUAUAUAGUGCACUACUUUAGACCAAGGCCCUAUAGAACCCUAUUCCCUAUAUAGUGCACUACUUUAGACCAAGGCCCUAUAGAACCCUAUUCCCUAUAUAGUGCACUACUUUAGACCAAGGCCCUAUAGAACCCUAUUCCCUAUGUAGUGCACUACUUUAGACCAGAGCCCUAUAGAACCCUAUUCCCUAUAUAGUGCACUACUUUAGACCAAGGCCCUAUAGAACCCUAUUCCCUAUAUAGUGCACUACUUUAGACCAGAGCCCUAUAGAACCCUAUUCCCUAUAUAGUGCACUACUUUAGACCAGAGCCCUAUAGAACCCUAUUCCCUAUAUAGUGCACUACUUUAGACCAAGGCCCUAUAGAACCCUAUUCCCUAUAUAGUGCACUACUUUUGACCAGAGCGAGCCCCUCCCCUACAGAGCCCCCUUCUAUUAACAUGUCAACACACACUGUAAAUAACAGUACACACAACAGAUCAAUGUGUACUGCUGCCAAACACUACACUACUAUAAACACUGUGUAUACUUUAGGGGGUGAACUGGGUAAGGUGAAUUAAUAGCCUAUGCUCCUUGUACAUUUUGGAUUCCCUCACCGUUCAUCCCAAAUUUGACAUCGUUCUUUUACAUGAUCUUUCUCAAUCAGGUUUUUAAUAAUUCUUCCAGUUGAAAAUAGCAGAUUAUUGAUAUGAUGACUUGUUUAGUGCGUUGCAUCGAUAACAUACUCAGUACAGUAUAUGGGAUAAGCUACAUAGUUGUAGUGGUUAGCGACACUUUAUAUAUGCUAUAUAAAGCCUUUAUAGGUUGUAAGUUGUAAAGGACCUUUUAAAAUGUAUAUUUUUUUGGGGGGGGAUUGGAAUCCAGGUUUAUGUAGAGUUUAACCCAGAGCCGUCCUGCACAAAAAGAGACCCCCAUGUUCAGAACUUCAGUGAACUUUCUAGUAGCAGACACAAACAUUUGAUCCAUUCAUGUUCCUCGGAGACAAAGGCCAUGCUGUAUGCAGCGCUUGACUUCACCAGAGAUGCAGUAAAGAGGUCAGUGGAAUAUGCAUACAGUGGGCGAUAGAAGGACGCUGGACUUGCGGGCAUUCAACAAAUCUGAUCCAUCGAAGUGGAUAUUGGUCAAAUCCGUCAUGAUGUAUUGUAACGGGUCCACAAAUGUGGUUACUCAAAUCUGAUGUGGAUAUAUUCACCUCAUAACAUGUAAAAAGCUGUCCCCUUUUCAGGUUUAGAAGAUGUGACUGCCAAAUGCUAACUCCUGUUUGUGUAAGCUGGUAGCGUAGCUAGCAUACAGAAAUCAGUGGUGGUAGUCAAAAGUUGUUUUUUAAAUUGUAAUGCAGUUGAUUGAUGACGAUGACAUCAACAUGUACGGGGGUUGACAUCUAUACAAGCAUUGCACUCUGAUUUUUUACCUCAACAUAGUGUGGAAUACACAUAUAAACAACAGUCUAAAUGUAGGGUCAUUUGGCUGGGGGGCAAUGAGGAGAUUCAGGAUCUUUCUUGCAUAGCAUCUUUCCCCCACGUGUUUCCAUGGCAUUGUUUUGGUCAAGUUCCAUUGACCUCUUUACCAUCUGUCCUUUCUAUAUGAUCUUUAUUAUUGAACUGAAUGACACUGUGUGAGAAACAGGUUACCAUUGACAAGAUAUGAUGCUGAAUGACACUGUGUGAGAAACAGGUUACCAUUGACAAGAUAUGAUGCUGAAUGACACUGUGUGAGAAACAGGUUACCAUUGACAAGAUAUGAUGCUGAAUGACACUGUGUGAGAAACAGGUUACCAUUGACAAGAUAUGAUGCUGAAUGACACUGUGUGAGAAACAGGUUACCAUUGACAAGAUAUGAUGCUGAAUGACACUGUGUGAGAAACAGGUUACCAUUGACAUGAUAUGAUUCUGCAUCACAUCUACCAUGUGGUCUAAGUCUUUUUAUAAACUGGGUGGUUCGAGCCCUGAAUGCUGAUUGGCUGAAAGCUGUGGUGUAUCAGACCGUAUACCAUGGGUAUGACAAGACAUUUAUUUUUUACUGCUCUGAUUACGUUGGUAACCAGUUUAUAAUAGCAAUAAGGCACCUCGGGGGGUUUGUGAUAUAUUGCCAGUAUUCCACGGCUAAGGGCUGUGUCCGGGCACUCCACGUUGCGUCGUGCAUAUAAAAACAACCCGUAGCCGUGGAAUAUUGGCCAUAUACCACGCCCCCUCGGGCCUUAUUGCUUAAAUCACACACCCAGAACAUAUGGUCUAAGUCUUCAUCACACCCAGAACAUGAUUUGAUUUGAUUUGAACAUAACAUAUGGUCUAAGUCUUCAUCACACCCAGAACAUAACAUAUGGUCUAAGUCUUCAUCACAUCAUAACAUAUGGUCUAAGUCUUCAUCACAUCAUAACAUAACAUAUGGUCUCAGUCUUCAUCACAUCAUAACAUAUGGUCUAAGUCUUCAUCACAUCAUAACAUAACAUAUGGUCUAAGUCUUCAUCACAUCAUAACAUAACAUAUGGUCUCAGUCUUCAUCACAUCAUAACAUAUGGUCUAAGUCUUCAUCACAUCAUAACAUAACAUAUGGUCUAAGUCUUCAUCACACCCAGAACAUAACAUAUGGUCUAAGUCUUCAUCACACCCAGAACAUAACAUAUGGUCUCAGUCUUCAUCACACCCAGAACAUAUGGUCUAAGUCUUCAUCACACCCAGAACAUAACAUAUGGUCUAAGUCUUCAUCACACCCAGAACAUAACAUAUGGUCUAAGUCUUCAUCACACCCAGAACAUAUGGUCUAAGUCUUCAUCACAUCAUAACAUAUGGUCUAAGUCUUCAUCACAUCAUAACAUAUGGUCUAAGUCUUCAUCACAUCAUAACAUAUGGUCUAAGUCUUCAUCACAUCAUAACAUAUGGUCUAAGUCUUCAUCACACCCAGAACAUAACACAUGGUCUAAGUCUUCAUCACAUCAUAACAUAUGGUCUAAAUCUUCAUCACAUCAUAACAUAUGGUCUAAGUCUUCAUCACACCCAGAACAUAUGGUCUCGGUCCUCAUCACACCCAGAACAUACGGUCUCAGUCUUCAUCACACCCAGAACAUAUGGUCUAAGUCUUCAUCACACCCAGAACAUAUGUUCUCAGUCCUCAUCAUACCCAGAACAUAUGGUCUAAGUCUUCUUCACACCCAGAGCAGAACAUAUGGUCUCAGUCCUCAUCACACCCAGAACAUAUGGUCUAAGUCUUCAUCGCACCCAGAACAUAUGGUCUAAGUCUUCAUCACACCCAGAACAUAACAUAUGGUCUCAGUCUUCAUCACACCCAGAACAUAUGGUCUAAGUCUUCAUCACACCCAGAACAUAUGAUCUCAGUCUUCAUCACACCCAGAGCAUAACAUAUGGUCUCAGUCUUCAUCACACCCAGAACAUAUGGUCUAAGUCUUCAUCACACCCAGAACAUAACAUAUUUUCUCAGUCUUCAUCACACCCAGAACAUAUGGUCUAAGUCUUCAUCACACCCAGAACAUAUGAUCUCAGUCUUCAUCACACCCAGAGCAUAACAUAUGGUCU
ensembl:lncRNA